rnacentral:lncRNA from 1 species
AGCAGAGCUGGCAACCGGGUCUCUCAGGCUGCAAUCACGAAGGGCAACUGGAGGAGCUCCCCAUCCCUCCAGACCCCCAACUUUCCCAAAGACAGUUCCUGCAGCGCCAGAGUGGAGCGCUCACCUAGUCCCGACGGAUUGGCGGCAGACAGCUUACACUGCAAAAACUUUCCUGACUGAGCAGGGUGUGGUUCCUGUUAAGCUAUUGUGAUUGUAGCAUGUGGGAGUAUACAUGGCAUGUGCUUGUGAACAUGAGAGGCAAGGCUCACAAAACCACAUUCUCAAUCACUAUACUAUAUACAUGAUAAUAAACUCAGUUAAGGUUCAAGAAUUCUUUAUGGCUACAAACCAUUCUUUAUGGUUCCUUCGGGAUAUACUGCAUUAUGCAGACAAAACAAAAUAUAUAUGGCAGCACUGCAUUAUCUGCCCUUACAUUAAUGUCAUGUCCCAAGAGCAUUAGAAUACAUGACAGGCGAGAGGCAAUGGCCAUGGCAAAGAGAUGUAGUUAAAGAGGCACAAAAGGGAGCAUUUUGUGGGGACAAAGAGAACAGUUACAUUUGUCUCUCUUGCCCGGAGCAUUUGGUGGUGCACAGCUCACGCAUUUACAGCCAGACAGGAACUCUAACUGGCCUAACUGGCUGUUCCAAACUCUGAACAAAUUCCACAGGUUUUGAAUGAUCCCAAAAAGGCUGCUGUGUAUCUGACAUUUCUCUGCCAGUGGGAAAGAACUGCACCACCCAGAUUUACUCCUGGUUUGUAAAAACUUCUGCCACGGCUUCAAUACUGCCUGCAGGGGCUGAGAGCCAGGAUUGUGCACGAUCAGCAGUUCUGCUUUAUGCACAACACACGAUUAACUUGUCACCGCCAAAUAAACCCGAAGAACGCCUUAGUGCACAGAGUAAGCUCUGCUGCAGGCGCGAGGGUUUGCCUUCUCCCUGAUGACUAAGGCUGAAUGGUGCCCUUCAAAGGCAAUCCCGGCUGUUCCGCCAGAGAAAGCCCUCGGGGGAUCUCCGCCAGGGAUCCCUUCAAACAAAGCCACCCUGCCGGCCUUUGGCGCAGCUCGGAGAACCGCCCUCUCCUCCCGGGCACUCAGGCAGGGCUGGGAGGAGCCGUCCUACGGAACGCGGCUCGCUCGGCCCCCGUUGCCCUGUUUCUGCCCUUCAUGUGGCUCUUCGCUGCUUCAGUUCAGCGCGAGCCACGCUGCCUGUGGCCAGAGAAGGGCCCGAGUGACCCUAAGGGGCCUAUUGAUUUCUACAUCAGAAAAGUAGCAGAAGAAGAAUAA